GUGCUUGCUUUGGCAGCACAUAUACUAAAUUGGAAUAAUACAAAGAAAAUUAGCAUGGUCCCUACACAAAGAUGACAUGCAAAAAAAAAGAAAAAAGAUGACACGCAAAACUUGU
rnacentral:snRNA from 1 species